AUUGAACGCUGGCGGCAUGCCUUACACAUGCAAGUCGAACGGUAACGGGCCUUCGGGCGCCGACGAGUGGCGAACGGGUGAGUAAUGCAUCGGAACGUGCCCUGAAGUGGGGGAUAACGUAGCGAAAGUUACGCUAAUACCGCAUAUUCUGUGAGCAGGAAAGCAGGGGAUCGCAAGACCUUGCGCUUUAGGAGCGGCCGAUGUCGGAUUAGCUAGUUGGUGGGGUAAAAGCCUACCAAGGCGACGAUCCGUAGCGGGUCUGAGAGGAUGAUCCGCCACACUGGGACUGAGACACGGCCCAGACUCCUACGGGAGGCAGCAGUGGGGAAUUUUGGACAAUGGGCGAAGGCCUGAUCCAGCCAUGCCGCGUGAGUGAAGAAGGCCUUCGGGUUGUAAAGCUCUUUCGGCGGGGAAGAAAUAGCACGGGUUAAUACCCUGUGUUGAUGACGGUACCCGAAGAAGAAGCACCGGCUAACUACGUGCCAGCAGCCGCCGUAA
rnacentral:rRNA from 1 species